AUGAAGACAUCUUCCCUUGCACUUUGCUACUCUGCUGCUGAAUACACAUGCCCAGUGUGGAAUACAUCUCACCACAUUAAAAUAGUGAAUGAGACAUGCUGCAUUAUCACAGGAUGUUCAGGAUGUUUACACCCUAUGCAAUUAUCUUGUUUUCCCAGUAUUGCACCACCUGACACCCAUCAGGAAGUAGCAGCCUGUAAUGAAAGGACCAAGGCAUUGACAUCUCUGGCCCAUCAUCUGUUGGGAUAUCAGUCAGCAAGUCAACACCUCAAAUCGAGAAACUCCCUCCUGAGCACACAGAAGGCUGGAUGACUUGGAAGGCACUGUACAGACUGCACUCUGGUACCACAAGAUGCAGAGCUAACCUUAGGGAAUGAGGCUACAAGUGGAGUCCAUGAUAUGUGAGUGUGGAGAAGAGCUAUCAGGAUGAAACUUGCCACACUUGUAGGGCACAUUUCCAACUGUAAGCCUGGCAAGUGUGUUUGUUUAUUUAUUUAUUUACUGUAUUUAUAUACUGCCCUUCUCACCCCGAGGGGGAUUCAGAGCGGCUUACAAAAAGGCAUAUACAUUUAUGCCAUAAAAAAACAGUAUACAUUAAAUCCAAAGACUUAAAAAAUCAGUCUUAAACCCAAUUAUUAAAACCACACAAUCCAAAAGCAUAGUCUAGAAGCCAUUCCUGUUGUAAAUUGCACUAUUCCAUAUUUACUUAUUGCACUGAGAAUUAUUGUCCAAAGGCUUGUUCCCACAUCCACGUUUUUAAUUUCAGAACUUUUCAGUCUUCCACUGAGUUUUUGGAAAAGGUUUACCAAUGAAUUUUUUUUAAAGCCAAAAGAUGUAUCCCCUUGUAUUUCUCCAUGGUGACAGAACAUGAAUAGGGCAUCAUUCCUGCCAAGUUUCAGAAUGUUUUGUUUAUCCACUCCUUCUUAGGAAAGAAUAGCUAACUAGUGCUCCUAGAAGUUUUAAGAAACAGAUUAAAACAGGCAGAAACUGAACAGAGCUGAAGGACAUGUUUUCUCUCUUACAAAUGCCACGCCCCCACAGAAAAUGGAGGAGCUGCCUGCAGCUAUAUUUAGGCCAGCUUUGCAGAAAUCCACACAAUUGGAUUCCUUUUUUUGAUUGGCUGACAAGGGAAAAAAACAGAAUGCAGCUGCCCUUUGUCAAUAACAUCAACCAGCCCCUCUUCCCUGCCCCCUCCCACCUUGAGGCGAUGGACUAAUACAUUUUUUUAAAAGGUCAAAAUAAACAAUUUUUCCAAAUUUAUCCAAAAGAUUUGGAGGCUUCGGUUUAGAUUUGUAAAUGCUUUGGAUGGGCCAUUAACACUUUGUAUUUCAGUGGUUCGUAUCUCCAAAGUGCUGAAAAUUUCCAAAAUUGAAAAUGAAAAAUUGAAUUUUACAAACUACUAUUUUCUAACAAAACAUUCAGUUGGCGAUUGAAUGGUAGUUGUCUGGUAAAUUUAUUCUGGGUUAGUUCAGUGUUUAAAGGAAUUACAAAUGUUGCUGGACAACCCACUGCACUUUUGGUUGCUCCAGUUUAAACUUCAAAUGAAAACACAGGGCAGUGAAUGAUAGGUAUAGAAAGAGGAAAGACAGAAAUCUAUACAGAUAGAAGUGUGUGUGUGUGUGUGUGUGUGUGUGUGUUUUGCAUGUCGUUACAGGGGCAUUGUGAACUAAAAAUCAGGAAAAUAUAUUCUUCAAUAUUUUGAAUAAUAAACAUCAGAGGCUGUGCCUUUUUUAAAAAAAAUUGUGUCAAUUGCAAGGAAAAAUUGUAAGGAAAAAAUCAAAGUAUGCGCAUCAGUAUCCUUGGGACUUUUCUGCAGACAUUUACAUGCACUUCACAUUGCCACUCAAUAGAGAUUCUGUUAUUUCACAACAAACAUCGUAUUUGUGCUGCUUGCUCAAUGACUUGUUUGUUGGGGGAGCGGGGGGGGGGGGGGAGACACUAAGUUCCAUCCUGAGAUGCAAAUCUUAGCCCAAGGUUGAAUUCUUUUCUUCCUUUGUAGUUCUCUCAAUGUAUUAUCUGUUUAGUCAAAUGCUUUUUCCUGUUUCUAGUGAUAGUAUGCUGUCCCAGUUCGCCUGUAUCUUCACCUUUGUGGAAUCUCAGAAUCUUCUAAACUGAUACAGUAAUAUGAAGCUUUAUAAUGAUAUCAUGCUGUAAGAAUAGGAUUCAAAGGUCAAUAACACAGGAAAAUCCAAUUUCUGUGAAGAAUCCUGAUUGCUUUCGUGGUGGAAAAACUUUCAAGAAUGAUUUCCUGGAAUAUCUUAAAACAUACUAAUUUAAAACAAUUUUACCCAGCUCCAUGGUGUAUUGCACUCACAAUUCAUAGCCUAUCACUUCUAAAGAUGAAAAAAAAAUAUUCUCAUUGAUAUUAAUUUCAAAGGGUGUAUUAACCAAACAUUAUUUUGUAGCAUGAGAUAUAAUAGUUAGGCAAGAUCAUUUUUAGCAGCAGCUUUUUAAAAUGUCUCACUAUGUUGGCACAUACAGAGCUACUAUGGGGGUGUCUAGCCACCAUUUUUUAAAACUGGCAGAGAAGGGUAAGAUUUCACUGU
rnacentral:lncRNA from 1 species